rnacentral:rRNA from 1 species
CACGUAGGGUGCGAGCGUUGUCCGGCAUUAUUGGGCGUAAAGAGCUCGUAGGCGGUGUGUCGCGUCGGCCGUGAAAACCUGCAGCUUAACUGUGGGCGUGCGGUCGAUACGGGCAUCACUGGAGUUCGGCAGGGGAGACUGGAAUUCCUGGUGUAGCGGUGAAAUGCGCAGAUAUCAGGAAGAACACCUAUGGCGAAGGCAGCUCUCUGGGACGGUACUGACGCUGAGACGCGAAAGCGUGGGGAGCGAACAGG